UACGAAGGGGGCUAGCGUUGCUCGGAAUCACUGGGCGUAAAGCGCACGUAGGCGGAUUGUUAAGUCAGGGGUGAAAUCCUGGAGCUCAACUCCAGAACUGCCUUUGAUACUGGCGAUCUCGAGUCCGGGAGAGGUGAGUGGAACUGCGAGUGUAGAGGUGAAAUUCGUAGAUAUUCGCAAGAACACCAGUGGCGAAGGCGGCUCACUGGCCCGAUACUGACGCUGAGGCACGAAAGCGUGGGGAGCAACAGG
rnacentral:rRNA from 1 species